AGAGUUUGAUCAUGGCUCAGAAUCAACGCUGGCGGCGUGCCUAACACAUGCAAGUCGAACGCGAAAGGGGUUUCGGCCCUGAGUAGAGUGGCGAACGGGUGAGUAACACGUGGGUGACCUACCCUCGAGUGGGGGAUAACAUCCCGAAAGGGGUGCUAAUACCGCAUGACAUCCUGUCUUUGAACAGAUGGACAUUAAAGCCGGGGAUCGCAAGACCUGGCGCUCGAGGAGGGGCUCGCGUCCGAUUAGCUAGUUGGUGGGGUAAUGGCCUACCAAGGCGACGAUCGGUAGCCGGCCUGAGAGGGCGGACGGCCACACUGGGACUGAGACACGGCCCAGACCCCUACGGGAGGCAGCAGUGGGGAAUUGUUCGCAAUGGGCGCAAGCCUGACGACGCAACGCCGCGUGGAGGACGAAGAUCUUCGGGUCGUAAACUCCUUUCGAUCGGGACGAAUGGCUGGUGGUCCAACACACCAUCAGAGUGACGGUACCGAGAGAAGAAGCCCCGGCUAACUUCGUGCCAGCAGCCGCGGUA
rnacentral:rRNA from 1 species